AAAGGUAAUUCGAUGGUUUUAUACCCCAUCACAUGCAUUUCCGUCUAAGGAAAAUAGCUAUAAUUGACAAAGUAUGCAGGAAGAUACAAACUGUAUAUACGCCGUUCAGAGCUGAAGAGGAUGCGAAUUAAAGAUGCGUUUCAGCUAGAUUUCUCAUGCACGACAGGAAGUACUAAAUUUACAAAGAUCAGUACUUUCAGUACUUCUUUAUAUAGGUUUAUAUAGUAUUGACGCAUAUAAUAAAUAUGUAUACAAAGAGGAAUCAUUGCAUAUGAAUUACGGGGAGGUUUGAUGGCAGAAUAUCAUUAUACUUUCUUGAGUUUCUUCUGAAUCGAAUUAUCGAACUCUUUAAAAGGUCUUUCAAGAGGGCCGAAGGAGGGGCUGGGAGGCUUUUUCUCUCCAGUUAUAUUGUUAAAAAAAGCCUUGCCUAUGAUAUACAACGUGGACACAACGCUGACACACAGUCAACAUCAACCGAUUUAUUAACGUCAUGCAUGCAGUGUACGAUGAGACCCACCAAUUCAAUAGAAUUAAAAUAUUCUUUGCAGACCCUUUGCACUGGGUUACAAUUCAUCACUUGGUAGUUGGUACUUCCAUUUAGUUUCACGCGAGUAGUAGUUAAAUAUAUAUCAUUGAAUCCGUUCAUGACAUGGGUCAUGAAUCUUCCAGUUCUCUCUUCUACGUCAAGGUCACAAGAUGUAUUUAUUAUUUGAAAAUAUGUUGUCAAUAUAAUUUCAGGCCACAUAGGGUGCCUCUCCUUAAAAACGCAAGCGCUCUAGAUUUUGUCACUUUCGUUCGGUGUCUUCCACAUAUGAAAAUCAUGAAAGUUGAUUACAAAAUUUUGGUUCUCGCGUUUAUCGCUAUCUGUUUGUUUGUCGACACCGACGCGUGGUUUGGGGGACGCCGAAAAUCAAGUCGAACGGUCGUAGUUGGUGCAAAACAUAUGGGAAAAUCAUGGAAAAAUGUGGGCAAAAGCGGAAGCGAUAAAGGGAAAAACGUGGGUUCAUUUGUUAAGUCUGGAGGGGCAAACGCAACUGCAUGAUAACAUGAAAAAGCUUGGGAAACGGAAGAAGCGUUUAUCGUGUAGCGGAUAAAAACACGAGUUGCUGAAGAAAUCGAAAAACUGAACCUGCAUGUGAAUGGAAAUCCGGAAAAUAGAAUUAAAGAGUAAUCCUGCAAUAGCUAUAGAGAAGAUACAAAUCAUACAAUACGUUAUAGAGUACCAUGCCUAAAUGUUUUUCAUUUCCUGAUAUGACGCCAAAUCAACAUUUAGUUUUAGACUUGCAUAAAUAUGUUUUCGAUCACCCUAAAACCUAUUUUCCAAAGCUCAAUUAUAAAGCAUUGCUCAUGAUCUCAUGAUAUAGUUUAAUGAUUAAGUCUGAAGUCUCAGCUCGGAGGUCAUUUUCGUAUGUUUUUUCAUGCCUCCUCUUUAAUUUUUACUCCUGCAUAGAAACCAAUAAUUGCAUGGACCGUAUGCAUGCAGCAAGUCGCUAACGCACCUGUGAAAAGCUAAAAAAAUAUUCAAAUGGCACGUACUUGUUCUAUCUUUACUGUAUUGAUACCAUCUACUUUGCCAAACAAAUCAGAAAGUGCUGUCAUUUGAUAUACCGCAUACAGUAAUUCAAUACACCAUAAACAAUUCUCCACGGCUAGUCGGCUAUCAUACUCACUCUAAUUUGUUCAAUCAUGGCUGAGACACAAAAUCAACAGUAUGUGCUUUCUGGUGAAAAUAUCGGUUCGCUUGGAUUAGAAAAUGAACUAGCGAGUUUAUCAGAAGUCACAACGCUUGUCGGACAGCAGCAAUUAAAGGAAGAAAAUGAACCAUGGUGGACUUGCAACAAAUAUCAGGUUCACGACGGAAACAUGAAAACUGUACUAACAAUAGAGGAAGAGAAUGCUCACCCGGCUAUUGUCAGAGCUAUAUGUUCAACUAAUCGUCCUUUUUUUAUGAGUGUGUUCGACAAAACAUCCAACAACAAAAUUUUGGAAUUUGAACGAUUGAUGAAAUGUUGUAGCCCAAUCUUUUUUCCUCGUUCACGUGCUACCAUUGUUGUGAGAGACAGAAGAGCGCAGAUCUUGGGUUUUGUCAAACAUGCUGCGCGUGAAACCUGCUUGUCGUGGUUUGGUCCUUCUGUUUAUUAUGAGAUUGCAGACGAAGUAGGCAAUGUGGAGUUUAUUGUUAAUGGUCCUGGGGGCUGCGUGUUCGAGUGUACAAGGCCCGAUGUCUUUAGGAUUAUGAAUAAAAGCCUUUCAAAACAAGUUGGUGAAAUAUCUCAUGACUGGCGAGGUUGCUGCGGUGGUAGUCUAAGUCUUUUUUUGUCACCUGAGGUUGACAAUUUUACACUUAGGGUCGAUAAAGACCUACCGGUAAAAAGCAAAGCCCUUCUUUUUGGAGCAUUAAUUUUGGCGCAUUUCAAUUACAUGGAGGUUCUGUAAUUAUUCAAUGAAGACAAAAUGCGUGUAUGAGAUGAAUGCUGAUAGUAAUAUUGGCGGACAAUAGUGUACCAUUGCAUGCAUGGGAGACGCGCAUAUAUAUACUUGAACGGUUUGCGAUAAACCUUGUCGUUUGUUAAGAAGAAUUUUUUAUUCCUAAAGUAUACACACCAGAGUUCUACUUCGAUGUCUUCUUCUAUAAAAAAGUCUUAGACCUGUUCAAAAUUCCAAUUCUGAUCUAACAGUGUAAAGUUUGUAAAUCGGGCCUUUUUCUGACCCGAUUUUCCACUAUCAGGCGGAAUUCUGUGAUCGAACGAAUUUUUGAGACGUUUGACCAAAGGCGAAGCGGAUCACUUGAACGAUAAAAAUUGAGAGGAAGCCGAGCAAAAAAUCGUUCGAUCGAAAAACCCGCUCAGUUGAAAACCGCCUUGUCACAGUCUCGGAAAUACCUUUGUAAUCAACAUUGAAAUUCUAGUGCGCAAAAAAAUUUGAACGAUAUAGUGGCGCUCUUUAUUUCAACGAGUGUACGAUCGGAAAUAUGAAAUACGAAAUAGUCCCCACGUUUAUAUAUGACAGGUGUUUCAUUUGCAUCUUGUCUCAUACAUACAAACAGUGGACUGGGACAAGCCAAAACAAAUGAAUACAUAUAUUAUUUUGGCCGUCAGCAGAUGUUAUACUACUCUCUGCUUCGAAGAAAGGAUCAAACAUAACCUUUUUAAAGCUGAACUAGUAUUUCUGAACAGGAAGCAGAACUGGCAUCUUGAAAGUUGCAGUGAUGAAAGGGGAAAAUCUGAGUGAUAAUGACAAUCAUGUAAGGUUGACAAAAAAAUCCGUUUAAUCAGGCCCCGACUGCUUUCUGUAUUCAUGCAAGGGCGGUCUAAGCCUCGUUCUCAUCAAUCUCAUGCAUUAAGAUUAAAUUCUGGAAACUAAAUUUGGAAUCUAAGAACACCAGAGCAGUCAAAAUGUAUUAUCGUUAAAUCUACAAGAAUAUUAUGAUUCAUAAUUUUUUCGAUUUUGAAAUAUAAAAAACGUUGCCAAAUCGCGUCCUGCCUCUGUGUGGGUCUCUUGAAUUACAACUGCUUCUUUGCGUGUGAAAUUUACAGUCCCAAAACAUUUCUUUGACCCCCAAUUGCCCUCCCCCCCCCAUUUCAUUUUACCCUGGCGCCGCCAUUGAUAAAAUGCUUUGUCUCUCCAAAAAAAAUACUUCAUUGAAUAACGACAAUAAAACGUGGAGCAUGGCCAAUGACCAACGAUAUAUAUAUAUGAAAACUAUACACUUUAACUUUAACUUUAACUUAACAAUCCUUGUAUGCCAAUAGUCGAAAUCGUUUCGAUAUACAUCGCGUACGCGUGUACGCCGUGGAUCAUUGCAUGGCUUAGAGCAGUCAUACGGUAACUGACCCAAUUCAAACUUUCCCCCUGGAAUAUGAUCUUUGUACGUUGUACGAAAAUAUAAUAUGCAUAACAUAAAAAUAUGAUUUGUCCUAAAAUUAAAAUUACAAGCAAUAUCAUAGCUAUUUUACAAAAUUAACUUUUUCAAUUUCAGAGAGCUCUACCAUCCGUGAUUCGAAUUAACGUUGGAGGAGUGCAUUAUGAAACUUUGCUAGCUACUUUAUGUGG